rnacentral:rRNA from 1 species
AUUGAACGCUGGCGGCAUGCUUUACACAUGCAAGUCGAACGGUAACAGGCCGCAAGGUGCUGACGAGUGGCGAACGGGUGAGUAAUGCAUCGGAACGUGCCCAGUCGUGGGGGAUAACGCAGCGAAAGCUGCGCUAAUACCGCAUACGAUCUAUGGAUGAAAGCGGGGGACCGUAAGGCCUCGCGCGAUUGGAGUGUCCGAUGGCAGAUUAGGUAGUUGGUGGGGUAAAGGCUCACCAAGCCAACGAUCUGUAGCUGGUCUGAGGGGACGACCAGCCACACUGGGACUGAGACACGGCCCAGACUCCUACGGGAGGCAGCAGUGGGGAAUUUUGGACAAUGGGCGCAAGCCUGAUCCAGCAAUGCCGCGUGCAGGAAGAAGGCCUUCGGGUUGUAAACUGCUUUUGUACGGAACGAAAAGGCUCUGGUUAAUACCUGGGGCUCAUGACGGUACCGUAAGAAUAAGCACCGGCUAACUACGUGCCAGCCGCCGCCGUAAUAC